rnacentral:rRNA from 1 species
GACGUAGGGCGCGAGCGUUGUCCGGAUUUAUUGGGCGUAAAGAGCUCGUAGGCGGCUUGUUGCGUCGACUGUGAAAACCCGCGGCUCAACUGCGGGCUUGCAGCCGAUACGGGCAGGGCUAGAGUUCGGUAGGGGAGACUGGAAUUCCUGGGUGUAGCGGUGAAAUGCGCAGAUAUCAGGAGGAACACCGGUGGCGAAGGCGGGUCUCUGGGCCGAUACUGACGCUGAGGAGCGAAAGCGUGGGGAGCGAACAGG